rnacentral:rRNA from 1 species
GACGAACGCUGGCGGCGUGCUUAACACAUGCAAGUCGAACGGUAAGGCCCUUCGGGGUACACGAGUGGCGAACGGGUGAGCAACACGUGGGUGAUCUGCCCUGCACUUCGGGAUAAGCCUGGGAAACUGGGUCUAAUACCGGAUAGGGCCACUGCCUGCAUGGGUGGUGGUGGAAAGCUUUUGCGGUGUGGGAUGGGCCCGCGGCCUAUCAGCUUGUUGGGGGGGUGAUGGCCUACCAAGGCGACGACGGGGAGCCGGCCGGAGAGGGUGACCGGCCACACUGUGACUGAGAUACGGCCCAGACUCCUACGGGAGGCAGCAGUUGGGAAUAUUGCACAAUGGGCGCAAGCCUGAUGCAGCGACGCCGCGUGAGGGAUGACGGCCUUCGGGUUGUAAACCUCUUUCAGCACCGACGAAGCGCAAGUGACGGUAGGUGCAGAAGAAGGACCGGCCAACUACGUGCCAGCAGCCGCCGUAA